GACAGAGGGGGCCAGCGUUGUCCGGAAUUACUGGGCGUAAAGCGCACGCAGGUGGCGAGGCAAGUGGGGUGUGACAAUGCACGGCUCAACCGUGCGAGGCCAUCUCAGACUGCCUGGCUUGAGCCGUUCAGAGGUCAGUGGAAUUGCCAGUGGAGCAGUGACAUGCGUAGAUCCUGGCAGGAACGCCGAAGGGGAAGCCAACUGACUGGGAACAGGCUGACACUCAGGUGCGACAGCGUGGGGAGCGAACCGG
rnacentral:rRNA from 1 species